rnacentral:rRNA from 1 species
CUACGGGUUGCAGCAGUCAAGAAUCUUCCUCAAUGGACGAAAGUCUGAAGGAGCGACGCCGCGUGUAUGAAGAAGCUCUUCGGAGUGUAAAGUACUUUUAUCAGGGAUGAAACAAUGACAGUACCUGAUGAAUAAGGGGCUGCUAACCUCGUGCCAGCAGCAGCGGUAAUACGAGGGCCCCAAGCGUUAUCCGGAUUUAUUGGGCGUAAAGCGUCCGUAGGCGGUUUAUCACAUCUCCUGUUAAAUCUCGAGGCUCAACCUCGAGCCAGCAGGAGAGAUGGGUAGACUAGAGAUCGGAAGAGGCAAACGGAAUUGCUGGUGUAGGGGUUAAAUCCAUUAAUAUCAGCAGGAACACCAAAUGCGUAGGCAGUUUGCUAGGACGAAUCUGACGCUCAGGGACGAAAGCGUGGGGAGCGAAUGGGAUUAGAUACCCUGGUAGUC